GAUGAACGCUGGCGGCGUGCCUAAUACAUGCAAGUCGAGCGAACAGACGAGGAGCUUGCUCCUCUGACGUUAGCGGCGGACGGGUGAGUAACACGUGGAUAACCUACCUAUAAGACUGGGAUAACUUCGGGAAACCGGAGCUAAUACCGGAUAAUAUAUUGAACCGCAUGGUUCAAUAGUGAAAGACGGUUUUGCUGUCACUUAUAGAUGGAUCCGCGCCGCAUUAGCUAGUAGGUAAGGUAACGGCUUACCAAGGCACCGAUGCGUAGCCGACGUGAGAGGGUGAUCGGCCCCACUGGAACUGAGACACGGUCCAGACUCCUACGGGAGGCAGCAGUAGGGAAUCUUCCGCAAUGGGCGAAAGCCUGACGGAGCAACGCCGCGUGAGUGAUGAAGGUCUUCGGAUCGUAAAACUCUGUUAUUAGGGAAGAACAAAUGUGUAAGUAACUAUGCACGUCUUGACGGUACCUAAUCAGAAAGCCACGGCUAACUACGUG
rnacentral:rRNA from 1 species